UGUAUGAAACUUUAGUGGCCCUUCCCCACUAUUAAAGUUGCCCACCCCUGUGAUUGACCCAAAAUAACUCUGGAUCAAACCAUUUAAACUGAUACCCCCACAAUACCCCUGCAUAUCUGGAUCAAACCGUUUAAACUGAUACUCAAUAUAAGAGUCUCUUACCUCCCCACAUCAUCUGCUCCACUUUUAUACUAUCAACGUCUUCUCUCUCUUGCUGGACUUUUCUAGAAAAACAAGAACAGGAAUGUAAGGUGGAUUUAUAGAUGCUGUGUUUAAUAAUCUUGGAUAAAUCCUUACCUUUUCUCAACACACACACACACACACACACACACACACACACACACACACACACACACACACACACACACACACACACACACACACACACACACACACACACACACACA